rnacentral:rRNA from 1 species
GAACGCUGGCGGCAUGCCUUACACAUGCAAGUCGAACGGUAACAGGUCUUCGGAUGCUGACGAGUGGCGAACGGGUGAGUAAUACAUCGGAACGUGCCUAGUAGUGGGGGAUAACUACUCGAAAGAGUAGCUAAUACCGCAUGAGAUCUACGGAUGAAAGCAGGGGAUCGCAAGACCUUGUGCUACUAGAGCGGCUGAUGGCAGAUUAGGUAGUUGGUGGGAUAAAAGCUUACCAAGCCGACGAUCUGUAGCUGGUCUGAGAGGACGAUCAGCCACACUGGGACUGAGACACGGCCCAGACUCCUACGGGAGGCAGCAGUGGGGAAUUUUGGACAAUGGGCGAAAGCCUGAUCCAGCAAUGCCGCGUGCAGGAUGAAGGCCUUCGGGUUGUAAACUGCUUUUGUACGGAACGAAAAGCUUUGGGUUAAUACCCUGGAGUCAUGACGGUACCGUAAGAAUAAGCACCGGCUAACUACGUGCCAGCAGCCGCGGUAAUACGUAGGGUGCAAGCGUUAAUCGGAAUUACUGGGCGUAAAGCGUGCGCAGGCGGUUUUGUAAGACAGAGGUGAAAUCCCCGGGCUCAACCUGGGAACUGCCUUUGUGACUGCAAGGCUAGAGUACGGCAGAGGGGGGUGGAAUUCCGCGUGUAGCAGUGAAAUGCGUAGAUAUGCGGAGGAACACCGAUGGCGAAGGCAACCCCCUGGGCCUGUACUGACGCUCAUGCACGAA